UGUUAUCUUUACGACCUUAGCCAUGUGUUUUAAAACUUUCAAAGGUGUAAACAGAUGAGAUGGGAACAUGCUGCCGAGUUCAAGGCUCUCAAGCAAUGUUGACGAAACAUGGUGCCGCAGACCCCCAAGAAUUAAUGCACACUGGUGGAAUUUGUUCCUUACGAAGGAGUCUUUUCUUCCAAUUUGAACAAUUCAACUUCCCCUGAGCCAGAUCUCUGCCAGAUCAAUGGAUUCAAUGAUUGCAUAUUUGACCUUAUUGUCCAAGCAACGAAAGUGGUUGAUUCUUGAUUUUGUGGAGAUAAAAGACAGUUUAGAGAAGAAUGUGUCCACGUGUUACCUGUUGCCUGGGAACGGUUGAGCUCUUAGAAGAAAAUGCACUAAGAUUCCUGCCCUCUGUCCCCCACACCCACUUCUGUGCGUAUCUGCGAUCAAUCGACCAAAGGCAGUGAGAAAGAAACACUCCGUGAAUACCUCGACAGUGGUAUGUACUACAUGGCUUUUUAAUUAUCCAAUUACCUGUCUGGUCAAUUGUUUUUUAAAUCACUAUACACAAAGAUUAAUAUACUACUCCCCAAUAAAAAUACUUGAUAUGUGAAUCUAUGUGUAGAACACAGAAUAGAGUUUAGACAUAUAGUCACACUGAUUUCAUCAGUUUAUUUUUAUACUUUUAAAAGUGGAUUUAUAUGGGGGCACCUGGGUGGCUCAGUGGGUACAAGCCUCUGCCUUCAGCUCAGGUCAUGAUCCCAGGGUCCUGGGAUAGAGCUCCACAUCGGACUCUCUGCUCAGCGGGAAGCCUGCUUCCCUUCCUCUCUCUCUGCCUGCCUCUCUGCCGGCUCGUGAUCUCUCUCUGUCAAAUAAAUAAAUAAUCUUUUUUUAAAAAGUGGAUUUAUAUGGGCUUCCAAUUUUUACAUUAUUAAAGGCUCUUUUUAGAAGUUCCUAUCCUAUAUCACCAUCCUUCCAUAAAAGAAUAUUUGCACCAGAAGUGUAGGAGAAAAGUUCUUUAAGAAUAAAGGACAAUCUUAUAAGUCACCAAACACGGGGGCAAAUUCAGCAGAGCACUACAGCCUGGCCCAGGAUCAUGACCUUGCAUCAGAGCAGUAUUUGGCAUCCACUGACUUAUAUUCUCUUCCUCAAGUUUAAUUUGUCACGGAGGCCUUUAUAGGGCAGAAAGCAAAUAAUUAAUUAGAGGGAGCAUUUUGUGAGAUUGUCUAACGAAUCAACGAGGAUUCUCUUUGCUGACUGAGGCUAGACCCACACGCUUUGGUAACCAGAGGAAAUCGUGGCAGGUUUGACAAUCUCUUAUGAAAAGUGAGUAUAUUCUUUAAUCCUCACACCCCAUCAUUCCCUGCAUAACCGCCGUUUACACCACAUCACUCACCCCGGCUUGGCGGCGAUGCCGUACCUAGAAUGAAACAUGAACCUGCUCCUCUUUCCACUGGCUUCAUCCCAGGCUAAAAGCAGCCACCCGUCCUUAGCCUCUGGCAGAGUCUCUGGAGCAGAGUCUCUGGAGCAAAAGCAGCACAGAGACCGCGCCCAGAGGGAGCACAGUUGCCGGGGGUUAUGGGUCUGGCAGGGGAAGGCCAGUCUUUUCAGGAGGCUCAGCCUUCCUUUGCAGGAGCUUACGGACUUUGAAGUAAAUCUUUUUCAUUGUUUUCUGUUAGACUUAGGAGAAGUCUGAAAGCUGUCAGCGAGCACAAAGGUAGACGAAUGCACGUGAGGAAGGGAUGAGGAGGUGGGAUGCUACAGAGUGGGCUCCUGAUGACGGACACCGAACGGCCCCUCGGGCUGGGGAAGGCCGGGGCACCCUCUCGGAUGGUCUACCACUGAGAGUUUCUCCUAUUCCUCUGCUGUGUGUUUGACUACAUAGAUCAACUAUGGAAAAAAAUCUUCAUUUAGGAGACUGUGGCCUCCCUGAGUGAUAGGAGAUAAACUCAUGGAGGUUUUAUUCAUUUGGUUUUUUUUUUUAUCAGAGACCUGAGACUUUUGUUACUGAAUGUUCAGCAGGAUACUCUGUCAGGUGUUCAAUUAAUAUCUUUUUCAAUUACUAUCUGGGAAGCAUAUGAUAACCUUUCAAAAUAAAAUCUUAGAAAAGAGAGUGAUGGCAUUCCUUGGCUAUGUCUGACUAGCUUUUUAUUUUC